AUUGAACGCUGGCGGCAUGCCUUACACAUGCAAGUCGAACGGCAGCGCGGGGCAACCUGGCGGCGAGUGGCGAACGGGUGAGUAAUAUAUCGGAACGUACCCUGGAGUGGGGGAUAACGUAGCGAAAGUUACGCUAAUACCGCAUACGAUCUAAGGAUGAAAGUGGGGGAUCGCAAGACCUCAUGCUCCUGGAGCGGCCGAUAUCUGAUUAGCUAGUUGGUGGGGUAAAGGCCUACCAAGGCAUCGAUCAGUAGCUGGUCUGAGAGGACGACCAGCCACACUGGAACUGAGACACGGUCCAGACUCCUACGGGAGGCAGCAGUGGGGAAUUUUGGACAAUGGGCGCAAGCCUGAUCCAGCAAUGCCGCGUGAGUGAAGAAGGCCUUCGGGUUGUAAAGCUCUUUUGUCAGGGAAGAAACGGUGAGGGCUAAUAUCCUUUGCUAAUGACGGUACCUGAAGAAUAAGCACCGGCUAACUACGUGCCAGCAGCCGCGGUAAUACGUAGGGUGCAAGCGUUAAUCGGAAUUACUGGGCGUAAAGCGUGCGCAGGCGGUUUUGUAAGUCUGUCGUGAAAUCCCCGGGCUCAACCUGGGAAUUGCGAUGGAGACUGCAAGGCUAGAAUCUGGCAGAGGGGGGUAGAAUUCCACGUGUAGCAGUGAAAUGCGUAGAGAUGUGGAGGAACACCGAUGGCGAAGGCAGCCCCCCUGGGUCAAGAUUGACGCUCAUGCACGAAAGCGUGGGGGAGCAAACAGGAUUAGAUACCCUGGUAGUCCACGCCCUAAACGAUGUCUACUAGUUGUCGGGUUUUAAUUAACUUGGUAACGCAGCUAACGCGUGAAGUAGACCGCCUGGGGAGUACGGUCGCAAGAUUAAAACUCAAAGGAAUUGACGGGGACCCGCACAAGCGGUGGAUGAUGUGGAUUAAUUCGAUGCAACGCGAAAAACCUUACCUACCCUUGACAUGUACGGAAGCCACGAGAGAUCGAGGUGUGCUCGAAAGAGAGCCGUAACACAGGUGCUGCAUGGCAGUCGUCAGCUCGUGUCGUGAGAUGUUGGGUUAAGUCCCGCAACGAGCGCAACCCUUGUCAUUAGUUGCUACGAAAGAGCACUCUAAUGAGACUGCCGGUGACAAACCGGAGGAAGGUGGGGAUGACGUCAAGUCCUCAUGGCCCUUAUGGGUAGGGCUUCACACGUCAUACAAUGGUACAUACAGAGGGCCGCCAACCCGCGAGGGGGAGCUAAUCCCAGAAAGUGUAUCGUAGUCCGGAUUGUAGUCUGCAACUCGACUGCAUGAAGUUGGAAUCGCUAGUAAUCGCGGAUCAGCAUGUCGCGGUGAAUACGUUCCCGGGUCU
rnacentral:rRNA from 1 species